rnacentral:rRNA from 1 species
GACGCACGCUGGCGGCGUGCCUAAUACAUGCAAGUCGAACGCGGGGGCGGCCGGGUGAGUAAUGUAUAGCUAAUCUGCCCUACACUAGAGGACAACAGUUGGAAACGGCUGCUAAUACUCUAUAGUGUAGGAUGAGGCUAUAUUGUAUCAGCUAGUUGGUGAGGUAAUGGCUCACCAAGGCUAUGACGCAUAACUGGUCUGAGAGGAGGAUCAGUCACAAUGGAACGUAGACACGGUCCAGACUCCUACGGGAGGAAGCAGUAGGGAAUAUUGCUCAAUGGGGGAAACCCUGAAGCAGCAACGCCGCGUGGAGGAUGACACUUUUCGGAGCGUAAACUCCUUUUGUUAGGGAAGCGGUACCUAACGAAUAAGCACCGGCUAACUCCGUGCCAGCAGCCGCGGUAAUUC